rnacentral:RNase_P_RNA from 1 species
AAGGCGGCCCGUUCUAUCGCUGUCCCGCGAGGGAGAGAGGAAAGUCCGGACAACGCAGGGCAUCGUGCUUCCUAACGGGAAGUUACCCGAAAGGGUGAGGUAGCGUGACAGAAAAUAACCGUCCCGUUCGCGGGACAAGGGUGAAAAGGUAGGGUAAGAGCCUACCGGUACUCCGGGUGACCGGGUAGCCGCACGUCCCACGAGUUGCAAGACCAUGUACACUAACGAUAAGGCUGGCCCGGCCGAUGUUGGGGGGUAGGUCGCUACACUCGCGAGGUGACUCGAGAGGUAGAUAAAUGAUAGAAACCGAAAGGUACAGAAUCCGGCUUACAGGGCCGCCACUUUC